CAUGAUUAAUCGUUUGACAGCACUAUUUUAUUUAUGUCAUAUUUUGAACCUUUGUUAAUGAAACCAAUUAAGUUGUCUUCAUCAGUGAUUAAGUCCUUCAGUAUACUCUCUGUGAUGGUUUUCAUUUUAUUUAUUUUUUUACAGUCAGAAACAUCCAGUGAGAUGACACACUCAGAGUUGUAAGGUAAACAUCUGAUUUAGGUAACACCAUUUUUGUAGAUUAUGGAAAAAGCUUCAGAUGAGCAGGAUAUAUACUUUUACAGCUGUCUUGGACAUGUUUACAUUAUUCUUUUUUCCCCUUUUUCCUGGCAGUAAAUUAAAAAUUUUAGCACUUCGUCAGUCACCUGUUGAUGUGUUUCUCCAGCUACAAAGUGAUUCUCCAGUCAUCUGUUACGUCUUGAAUGUGCCUCUGUAACUGUUAUCCGUCAUCUAUCAGGUACUCCUCUUCAUGGUUUUCUGACCCAGAAUGAUAUGGAAUAAAAUGGUUUGUCUGUCCA
ensembl:lncRNA